UAUAAUGGGUCAGCGACUUAUAUUCUGUAGCAAGGUUAACCGUAUAGGGGAGCCGCAGGGAAACCGAGUCUUAACUGGGCGUUAAGUUGCAGGGUAUAGACCCGAAACCCGGUGAUCUAGCCAUGGGCAGGUUGAAGGUUGGGUAACACUAACUGGAGGACCGAACCGACUAAUGUUGAAAAAUUAGCGGAUGACUUGUGGCUGGGGGUGAAAGGCCAAUCAAACCGGGAGAUAGCUGGUUCUCCCCGAAAGCUAUUUAGGUAGCGCCUCGUGAACUCAUCUUCGGGGGUAGAGCACUGUUUCGGCUAGGGGGUCAUCCCGACUUACCAACCCGAUGCAAACUACGAAUACCGAAGAAUGUUAUCACGGGAGACACACGGCGGGUGCUAACGUCCGUCGUGAAGAGGGAAACAACCCAGACCGCCAGCUAAGGUCCCAAAGUCAUGGUUAAGUGGGAAACGAUGUGGGAAGGCACAGACAGCCAGGAUGUUGGCUUAGAAGCAGCCAUCAUUUAAAGAAAGCGUAAUAGCUCACUGGUCGAGUCGGCCUGCGCGGAAGAUGUAACGGGGCUAAACCAUG
rnacentral:rRNA from 3 species